GUGCUUGCUUUGGCAGCACAUACACUAAAUUCGCAAUGAUACAGAGAAGAUUUGCAUGGCCCCUUUGCAAGGAUGACAUGCAAAUUUGUGAAGCGGUCCAUAUUUUU